rnacentral:rRNA from 1 species
CAAUAGCGUAUAUUAAAGCUGUUGCGGUUAAAAAGCUCGUAGUUGGAUUUCUGUCAAGGACAACUGGUCCGCCCUCCGGGUGAGCACAUAGUUUGGUCUUGGCAUCUUGCUGGAAACUGUUGCUGCGCUUGGUUGUGUGGUGCAGCUUUCAGCACUUUCACUUUGAGGAAAUUGGAGUGUUUCAAGCAGGCACAUGCCUUUGGACACAGUAGCAUGGAAUAAUUAGAUUGGGCUUUUGCUCCAACUUGUUGGUUCCUGGAGCUGAGGUGAGAAUCAAUGGGGAUUGUUGGGGGCAUCCGAAUUUAGCCGUCAGAGGUGAAAUUCUUGGAUCUGCUAAAGACGGACAACUGCGAAAGCGUUUGCCUAGGAUGUUUUCAUUGA